rnacentral:rRNA from 1 species
GAUGAACGCUGGCGGCGUGCCUAAUACAUGCAAGUCGAGCGAACAGACGAGGAGCUUGCUCCUCUGACGUUAGCGGCGGACGGGUGAGUAACACGUGGAUAACCUACCUAUAAGACUGGGAUAACUUCGGGAAACCGGAGCUAAUACCGGAUAAUAUAUUGAACCGCAUGGUUCAAUAGUGAAAGACGGUUUUGCUGUCACUUAUAGAUGGAUCCGCGCCGCAUUAGCUAGUUGGUAAGGUAACGGCUUACCAAGGCAGCGAUGCGUAGCCGACCUGAGAGGGUGAUCGGCCACACUGGAACUGAGACACGGUCCAGACUCCUACGGGAGGCAGCAGUAGGGAAUCUUCCGCAAUGGGCGAAAGCCUGACGGAGCAACGCCGCGUGAGUGAUGAAGGUCUUCGGAUCGUAAAACUCUGUUAUUAGGGAAGAACAAAUGUGUAAGUAACUAUGCACGUCUUGACGGAACCUAAUCAGAAAGCCACGGCUAACUACGUG